rnacentral:lncRNA from 1 species
CCUCGAAUUGGAACAUAUUAUGUCAGUCAGAGCAAUAGGUAUGCACAAUAGUCAUCCAUAAUACUAAUAAAAACAGUAAUAUCCAUACGCUCGAAUAAAAUGAAGAUAUUGAUAUGCAGACGUAACAUAUAGUGCACAAAAACAACAAGCUCAAAUUCUAUAUGCAAGAAAUUAUAUAUUUUUUUGAGAACUACGUCAAGGAAAUAGAUUGAUGUAUGCUUAAGUGGUUGUCCACAGCACAGUGGAGUGGACCAACAUACAAGUUCGUGAAACAGAGGAUUAACAACCCUUUUGGCCUUCCUACUUCUGCAUUUGUAUUAUUUCAGUUUCAAUAGAUUGAAUUACGCAAUGCAAGUCGUAAAAUCUUUCCCAAUGUUGCAAUCAGGUCUCUCUAAUAGUCUUCCGUCCAAUUUUUAAUAGGAAUCUAAUGACAUUAACAAAAUUUCUCAUGAUAUAUCGUUGUUAGUUAUAGUUUUGUGGAUUCUUAAUUAUGAAAAAAAAAAAUAGU